UACAGAGGUCCCGAGCGUUGUUCGGAUUCACUGGGCGUAAAGGGCGCGUAGGCGGCCAUGCGUGUCUUCCGUGAAAUCCCUCGGCUUAACUGAGGACGUGCGGAAGAAACUGCAAGGCUCGAGUCCGGGAGAGGGGGGUGGAAUUCCCAGUGUAGCGGUGAAAUGCGUAGAUAUUGGGAGGAACACCGGUGGCGAAGGCGGCCCCCUGGACCGGUACUGACGCUGAGGCGCGAAAGCGUGGGUAGCAAACGGG
rnacentral:rRNA from 1 species